GCCGGGCUAAGAUGAGGCGUGACGACGAGCGGUCCCUGACCGCGAAGUGAUUGAUACCCCGCUUCCAGGAAAAGCCUCUAAGCUUCAGUUACAAAGAGACCGUACCGCAAACCGACACAGGUGGGCAGAGAUGAGWAUUCUCAGGCGCUUGAGAGAACUCGGGAGAAGGAACUCGGCAAAUUAGCACCGUAACUUCGGGAAAAGGUGCGCCCUGGUAGGUUGAAGUCCCUCGCGGAUGGAGGCCGACGGGGUUGCAGUGAAAAGGUGGCUGCGACUGUUUAACAAAAACACAGCACUCUGCCAACACGAAAGUGGACGUAUAGGGUGUGACGCCUGCCCGGUGCCGGAAGRUUAARUGAUGGGGUGCAAGCUCUUGAUYGAAGYCCCGGUAAACGGCGGCCGUAACAAUAACGGUCCUAAGGUAGCGAAAUUCCUUGUCGGGUAAGUUCCGACCUGCACGAAUGGCGUAACGAUGGCCACACUGUCUCCUCCCGAGACUCAGCGAAGUUGAARUGUUUGUGAWGAUGCAAUCUCCCCGCGGCUAGACGGAAAGACCCCAUGAACCUUUACUGUAGCUUUGCAUUGGACUUUGAACCGGUYUGUGUAGGAUAGGUGGGAGGCUGUGAAGCGGGAACGCUAGUUUCCGUGGAGCCGUCCUUGAAAUACCACCCUGAUYUGUUUGAGGUUCUAACCUUGGYCCGUGAUCCGGRUCGGGGACAGUGCAUGGUAGGCAGUUUGACUGGGGCGGUCUCCUCCCAAAGGGUAACGGAGGAGUACGAAGGUACGCUAGGUACGGUCGGAAAUCGUGCUGAUAGUGCAAUGGCAUAAGCGUGCUUGACUGCGAGACYGACAAGUCGAGCAGGUGCGAAAGCAGGUCAUAGUGAUCCGGUGGUUCUGWAUGGAAGGGCCAUCGCUCAACGGAUAAAAGGUACUCUGGGGAUAACAGGCUGAUACCGCCCAAGAGUUCAUAUCGACGGCGGUGUUUGGCACCUCGAUGUCGGCUCAUCACAUCCUGGGGCUGUAGUCGGUCCCAAGGGUAUGGCUGUUCGCCAUUUAAAGUGGUACGUGAGCUGGGUUCAAAACGUCGU
rnacentral:rRNA from 1 species